rnacentral:rRNA from 1 species
GACGAACUGCCCAAACGUUGUUCGGAAUCACUGGGCUUAAAGGGCGCGUAGGCGGCAGAUCAAGGUCAGGGGUGAAAUCCGGCAGCUCAACUGUCGAAGUGCCUUUGAUACUGAUUUGCUCGAGGGAUAUAGGGGUCUGUGGAACUUCUGGUGGAGCGGUGAAAUGCGUUGAUAUCAGAAGGAACGCCGGUGGCGAAAGCGACGGACUGGAUAUCUUCUGACGCUGAGGCGCGAAAGCUAGGGGGAGCAAACGGG